rnacentral:rRNA from 1 species
UUGGAGGGCAAGUCUGGUGCCAGCAGCCGCGGUAAUUCCAGCUCCAAUAGCGUAUAUUAAAGUUGUUGCAGUUAAAAAGCUCGUAGUUGAAUUUCGGGGUUAGUAGGUUGGUCGUGCCUCAGGUAUGUACUGAUCUCACUGAUUCCUCCUUCCUGAUGAACCGUAAUGCCAUUAAUUUGGUGUUGCGGGGAAACUGGACUGUUACUUUGAAAAAAUUAGAGUGUUUAAAGCAGGCCAGCGCUUGAAUACAUUAGCAUGGAAUAAUGAAAUAGGACGAUCGAUCCUAUUUUGUUGGUUUUUAGGAUUGACGUAAUGAUUAAUAGGGAUAGUUGGGGGCAUUAGUAUUCAAUUGUCAGAGGUGAAAUUCUUGGAUUUAUUGAAGACUAACUACUGCGAAAGCAUUUGCCAAGGAUGUUUUCAUUAAUCAAGAACGAAAGUUAGGGGAUCGAAGACGAUCAGAUACCGUCGUAGUCUUAACCAUAAACUAUGCCGACUAGGGAUCGGAUGAUGUUAUUUUUAAUGACUCAUUCGGCGCCUUACGGGAAA